rnacentral:lncRNA from 10 species
GGAUUACCUGAGGUCCAGUUGAGACCAGCCUGGCCUACAUGGUGAAACUCCGUCUCUACUAAAAAUACAAAAAUAGCUGGGUGUGGUGGUGGGUGCCUGUAAUCCCAGCUACUCAGGAGGCUGAGGCAGAAUUGCUUGAACCCAGGAGGCGGGUUGCAGUGAGUGAAUAUCACAUCAUUGCACUCCAGCCUGGGUGACAGAGCGAGACUCCAUCUCAAAACAAACAAACAAAAAAAAACCCCCAAAAUUUCAAUGAUUUAUAAUCACAUGCAAAGUGUAAAAUUCAAAGGGUAUUAUAUAUGUGUAUAUAUAAAUGUCUCCUUUUCCCGUCUAUUCUUUGAUCAAAUUGUCCUUGUCAAAAGCAAUCUGUUUCUUGAGUAUUCCUUUAUUUCAAUAUUUUGUAUAUUUUCACAAAAAUGGUAGUAUAAUAAACUGUUCCAGUUUUUUGUUUUUUUAAGUAUUUGAGACUUUUUCCAAUUAGGACAUAUGAAGUAGUCUCAUUCUUUUGCUAACAUCUGCAUUGAUUUUAUACUGAUUUUAUAAGUAUUUUUCUUGUGUUAGCAAUUGUAGGCCUUUCUGUUGCUAUGUAAAAUUUUAAGAUACAUAUUUUAAAGAUUUCAUUUACAUGAAAAUACGUUUAAUACAUAUUCUGUCAUUAGCAGUAAGUAGAACUGUGCUCUUAUAUCACAAGUACUUUCUUUAAGACAAUCCAGGAUCAGUAAAUAACAAUAGCUUUUGCUUAUUUUAUUCAAUAUAUUUGAAAUGAUCAUUCACAAAUUUAACC